UCAGGGGGCAUAUCUCUUCCUUUGCCUCUCUGUCCCAUACUCUUGGCUGGAGAACAGUAGAGGCUGGUGGCUCCAAUGCCACUGGGUUCCCAAGAGGCUGAACCCAUUUCCAAAACUGGCUGAGUACCAUAGACUUUUGCAGUUCUCAAACACCCAGUCAGUACAUCUGGAAAGAUGUGUGCUUUUCCAUGCUUUGAUGGGUGUCACAUGAUUGGAGAAACAUGACAGAAUACAAGCUGCCUGUCAGGACUCGGGAGACCCUUUUCUUACGAGGGGAUACUACUGAUGACCCUUGAUGGUUUGGGAACAAUCUGUUUCACAAAAACAUGCUCCAUUGGUGAAGAACAUCCAUCUCUCGGUCUUGAACACCACCAGCCUCCAAUGAACCUUACAUUUCCAGUGGCUGCUCUGAUCCUGUGGGACUCCUUGCCACAUGAGGCUAGACUGGCCCUCUCUUUGCUCUCUUUCUAUUAGCAGGUCUGUGGAGUGGUGGUAUGCUGCUGAGACUUGCAAAAUCGAGGCUCUAGUCCUCCCUGAGGCAUGAAACUCUCUGGAUUCCCUUAGGCCAGUCUCCUCUCAGCUCAACCUACUUCACAGGGUUGUUGUGAAGAUACAGAAGGGAGGAAGAGAAGGACCUACACCACUGAGAUCACUGGAGAAAAGAGGGAGAAUUAUAUGUAGCUAUGAAAUUAAUACAAUAAA